CCCUUAGAUGUUCUGGGCCGCACGCGCGCUACACUGACGAAUGCAACGAGCUUAUAACCUUGGCCGACAGGCUCGGGCAAUCUUUGAACGCUGGUCGUGAUGGGGAUAGACUUUUGCAAUUUUUGGUCUUCAACGAGGAAUUCCUAGUAAACGCAAGUCAUCAACUUGCAUUGAUUACGUCCCUGCCCUUUGUACACACCGCCCGUCGCACCUACCGAUUGAAUGGUCCGGUGAAGCCUCCGGAUUGGCGCGCACCUCGGUGCCGCCGAGAAGUUGGCUAAACCUUACCAUUUAGAGGAAGGUGAAGUCGUAACA
rnacentral:rRNA from 1 species